rnacentral:pre_miRNA from 1 species
AUAGUACUCCCUCCGUCCGAAAAUACUUGUCGGAGAAAUGCAUAAAAAUGAAUGUAUGUAGAACUAAAAUACAUCUAGAUACAUCCAUUCCUCCGACGAGUAUUUCCGGACGGAGGGAGUAUCUA